rnacentral:rRNA from 1 species
AGCUCCAAUAGCGUAUAUUAAAGUUGUUGCGGUUAAAAAGCUCGUAGUUGGAUUUCGGCGAUCAGGGGCCGGUGCUAUCUUUGUAUCUACUGGCCCAUUUGGUCGUAUUUUUGCCAGAGGGUUUGGGGUCCCCUUCACUGGGUGUCCUAGGUCGCUUUCAGGUUUACUUUGAAAAAAUUAGAGUGCUCAAAGCAGGCUUUAACGCUUGAAUAUUCGUGCAUGGAAUAAUAGAAUAGGAAGUUCGGGUCUAUUUUGGUGGGUUUAGGAUAACGACUUAAUGAUUAAUAGGGACAGUCGGGGGAAUUAGUAUUCAAACGACAGAGGUGAAAUUCUUGGACCGUUUGAAGACGAACUACUGCGAAAGCAUUUUCCAAGAGUGUUUUCA